ensembl:lncRNA
UGCAACCUACACCACAGCUCACAGCAACGCCAGAUCGUUAACCCACUGAGCAAGGCCAGGGAUCAAACCCACAACCUCAUGGUUCCUAGUCGGAUUCGUUAACCACUGCUCAAUGACGGGAACUCCGGUCUUCGUUUUUGAAAUAUUUUUAGGACCAAGAGAACAAAAAUGAAAAAUUACUGAAAUGUCUUGUUUUAACCAACUCCCCUUUUAAUUUUUUUUAAGUCAUUAUUAGACGUUGACAGACAAAGGAGGAGUUCUCUGGUGGCCCAGUGGUUAAGAAUCCAGUGUUGUCACUGCUGUGGCUUGGGUUGCUGCUGUGGCUCAGGUUCGAUCCCUGGCCUGGAAACUGCUGCAUGCCAAGCACAUGGCCAGAAGAACAACAACAAUAACAAAACUGACAAAGAAGCCAUUCACCCUGGUAUCCAGCCUGGAGAGCAUCGUUUCUUCCAUGCCACUUCACAGCCCUUGCAUCUUGUGCUGCAGCGUGGUUGCAAAGGUGGCAUUUCACUGCUACAAUGUGAUGAGAAGACUCUCAGAUUUAUAUUUGAAAUAGUAUAAAUCUUCAUUUAGUGGACUAUUCAACUAUUCAAAUUUUUUUUUUUUUUUAGUAUAUGGAAAAGUUAAGAAUUUUCCUGCAAAUAAAAACAAUUUUAUAUUUUUUCUAUAUUUUUCUCUAUUAGAUAAAUGUUCAUUAUUGAAGCAUUUCAGAAGUAUAGAAAGGAAUAACGAAGAAAGUAAAAAUUACCCACUAUUCCACUGAGAUCUCUUCUCUUACUUCGAGAUAACCACUGCUUAUUUUGUGGAGGCCUUUCCAAUUCAUUUCUCUACGUGGAGCCAUACCCCCUCUUACUUAGAAGCUGUUCAUUUGCUUUAAAAAAAAAAGCUUUUAGAAGUUCCCUGCUGGCCUAGUGGUUAAGAAUUUGGCGUUGUCAGGGUUCCCACUGGGCACAGCGGAAACGAAGCUGACUAGGAACCAUGAGGUUGUGGGUUCAAUCCCUGGCCUUGCUCCGGUGAGUUAAGGAUCCGGCGUUGCCGUGAGCUGUGUGUAGGUCACAGACGCGGCUCGGAUCUGGCUGUGGCUGUAGUGUAGGCCAGCAGCUGUAGCUCCGAUUCAACCCCUAGCCUGGGAACCUCCAUAUGGUGCGGGUACAGCCCUAAAAAACAAAAAAAAAAAGAAUUUGGCCUUGUCACUGCUAUGGCUCAAGUUUGAUUCCUCAUGCUGCAGGUGUGGCUAAAAAAUAAGUAUAUAUUAAAAAAAAGCAAAACCUUUAACACUAUAUUGUAAACAUAUUUCUAUGCUAUUGAAUAUAGAACAUGGUAAUUUUUUGGGGUUUUUUUGUGUGUGUACUUUAUAGAGAUUAUAUAUGCUUAUACAGAUUUUCAAAUCGAGCAUUUACAAAGAAAAACUAACCAUUGAUGGGCGCAUAAAGUGUGCGGGGUGUUGUGCUAAAGCAGAGUAUGGGAAUUCUCAAAUCCUCACUUCGUCUGGGCUCGUGCAGUGGCCUCCUCUUGCUUUCAGGCUUUCUGCUUUACAACUUAUUUUUCAUACAGAAACCUGAAUAAUCUUUCAGGAAUGCAAAUGAGAUCAUAUUGCUCCUCUGCUUAAAACCCUCCAGUAGCUUCUCAUUUCACUUCAACUAAAAGCCAAACGCCUAACUGAGAUCUGGCUUCUGUCCCCCACACCCCCUCAUGGCCAUGCUGGCCCGUCCUCUCUUCAUUAAAUAUGGCGAAUCUGUUUCAACCAUGGGGUCUUUGCACUGCUUUGUAGUUUCUCUGCCCUGGGACAUGUGGAUGAUUGGCUUUCUCUUCUUUCAGAUACAAGUUCAGAUUGAAUUCAAGCGAGGUAAACUCCAACAUACAUAUACUUUGUAGAAAAAAUUUAGAGUUUGGCAAAGUAUAGAACAUGUCACCUGUAAUUCUACCACUGACUCAACAUUUUUAUGGUCUUUUUCUUUUUUUCUUUUUUUGUCUUUUUAGGGCCACACCCAGGGCGUAUGGAGGUUCCCAGGCUAGGGUUCCAGUUGGAGCUAUAGCUGCCAGCCUACGCCACAACCACAGCAACUGGGGAUCCGAGCCGCAUCUGUGUCCUUCACCACAGCUCACAGCAAUGCCGGAUCCUUAACCCACUGAGCGAGGCCAGGGAUCGAACUCACGUCCUCAUGGAUGCUAGUCGGGUUCGUUAACUGCUAAGCUGUGAUGGGAACUCCUUUUGUGGUUUUUUUCAUUUCAUUCACUCCAUUUAUUUCAUUCUUUUGACAAAAUAUCUGCUCUAUGCCAGGUAUGUUGUAUUGGUGUUUGGUGAGGUUACAGCAUUAAAAAAAGUAGUCAUGAUUCUUGCCUCUGUAAGAUCUGUUGGGGCAUUAAUCCUGCUGAGGAAGAUUAAUUAAGGCUGCAUGGUAUCACGGUUAAGAAUGUAAGCUCUGGGGUCAGACUAGCAGGAUUCCAAAAUUUUGGUUCUACCACUUAUAAGUUGUGUAACUGUGAGCUAGUUAUAUUCUGAGUCUCAGUUUUCCCAUCAGCAUUAGUUAUCUCUUUCUGCAUGACAAAUCACCUCAAAAUGUAGUGGCUUAAAACAACAAAAAUGUAUUACCUCACAGUGUCUGUGGGCCAGGAACUUAGAAGUGGGUUAGCUGGCUGGUCCCAGCUUGUGGUCCUUCCUGAGACUGCAGGCCGGAUGUCAGCUGGGGCUGCAGUCAUCUGACAGUUUGACUGGGGCGGGAGGGUCUGCCUCCACAGAGGCUCACCCACAGGGCUGGCUAGGUGAUGCUGACUGUUGGCAGGAGGCUUUAGUUCCUCACCCCAUGGACCUCUCCAUAGGCUGCUUGAGUGUCUGCAGAGCAGGCAGCCCAAGAGACCACAAGGCAGAAACCGCAAUGUCUUUUAUGACCUGGUUGCAAAAGUCACAUUGUCAUUUCUGCAGUAUCCUGUUGGUUACACAGGUCAGCCCUAUUCCGUGAGGGAGGGAACUAAACAAGUAUGCUGGGCAUCACUGGGGAGGCCAUACGGUGAGCAUCAUAAUGGUACCACAUCUUUGGUUUAUAAUGAGGAUUAGGAGUUCCCCAUGGCUCAGCAGGUUAAGGACCCAGCAAUGUCAAUGCUGUGGCUCUGGUUGCUGCUAUGGCAGGAGUUUGAUCCAUCCCUGUCUGGGAACGUCCUUAUUUUUAAAUUUUUAAAAUUUUUGCUUUUUAGGGUCCCACCUGCAGCAUAUGAAGUUCCCAGGCUAGGGGUCAAAUCGGAGCUACAGCUGCCAGCCUACACCACAGCCCAGCAACGUGGGAUCCGAGCUGCAUCUGCCACCUACACCACAGCUCACAGCAAUGCUGGAAUCUCAACCCACUGAGUGAGGCCAGGGAUCGAACCCACAACCUCACGAACACUAGUUGAAUUCAUUACUGCUGAGCCACAGUGGGAGCUCCCAUGGUCUGGGAACUUCUGCAUGACAUGGGUGCAGCCAAAAAAAAGUUUACAGUGAGGGUUAAAUGAGACGACACAUGUUAACUGAGUGAGGGAAAGUCCAGGUACAUAGUGAGUACUCCAGAGACCUGGGUUGUGGUCGUGUGUUGUCAUUACCACUGCCACCACCUCCUCUGCCAGCCCAAGUAGGAAACGAACCUAACAUAGUGGGGUUGAGGGAGGGCAGGAGGAGGAGACAUUUAAGCCAGGACUGGCCCCAGGAGCAGGCUUUGGAGAAGUAAGACCAUUCCAGGCCAGGGGACAGUACAUGUGAAAGCCCUGAGUGGCAGGCUGCCCAAUGGAGAGGGGAUUGGCCGUGAGGGGGCAGAGACCAGGCCACACCCAGCUGCAGAGGCCAGGAUGCAUCAUCACUGUGUUCUUUGGGGAGACUGUCUUCUCUGGGAACAUAGCUGAGUUUAUCCGGAAAUGAGAGGAGAAAGUCAGAGCCGAGCGUUCCGGGUUGCAGUAUCCUGCGCAGUGAGGUUCUUGUGUGCCUGGUGUGUCCCCAGAGCUCCUUAUGUUGCUUUGCUCUUUACCCCUGGCGGGAACAGGGGCCUCCUGGUUCAGACGGAACUCUGUCGCUAACCUUCCACAUGUUAACGGUUCCCUCUUCCAGUAGAGGGACUGACUGCUUUUCUUUUUUAUCUCAACAAUAUAUUUGGUUUCUUUAGCAGGAUCAGAUUCUUGUUUUAACGAAUGUAUCCAGAAACCUUGGAGGAAGUCUGUACAGAUUUCCUGUUCUUGUGCUUGUUAUGUGUAGGGUCAGUAUUUUGUGUUUUGUUCUCCUGACACCUUGUUAGGAUUGAUUGGAUCAUUUCAGAGGAUACAGGUAGACUUCAGUGGUGGGCUUAGUGCCUGCCUGCCUAACCAGCCACUCCAGAGUCUGAAGUUCCCCCACUCCUCUCCUUUUUGGCCAGAGCUGUCCAUAUUUAGAAUUUGUUACCUUGCCAGGGUGAUUUUUAUCCUUAAAUAUGAAUGAUAUGCUUCUCUCUGGACUUUGUAGGCCUUUCUGAAAUUAUAUGCAGACAUUUGUAUGUUCAUGUGUUUUUUUUUGUUGUUGUUUGUUUUGUUCGUGAAAAGGUCCCUGGCCUUUCUUGGUUUCUUAAGGGAGUUGUUAGAAGUACACGGUGAGACGUCGGCGUGGUUGUGAUAAUGCUGCAGCCAGGAGCCCGGGGACGCCUGUGUGCUGCUCACCUCUUUCUCUGCAGCGUUCUCGCAGGAGGAGGAAGCCGUACAAACAGCCCGAGUGGCAAGGUGUGAUAGAUGCGGCCGUGUCGUGGCAUAUCCUGCUAAUCCCCUGUUCACGAGCGCUUAUGUUGCUUGCAGUGUUUUCCCCAGGAUCUUCUUCCUGCCACCUUUUUGUAUGUUCUAUUCUUUUCUUCGGAUAAGUUUCUCCAAGUGGGAUUUCGGCAUCAGAAGAUGAGAUGGUUUUAAAGCCUUUAGCUGCACACCCUGAGUCUAUACCUCGCCCCCCUGGGAGGCGUGUCCAGGGAGUGAGUUCACCUGCACACUGGCAGUGCCCACAGCAUCGAUUUCUCUCUCUAAGGAGGAAUCCAGUCAGCCUGCGGCUGGGGGCCGCCAGUCCACCCGACAGCCCCUGUUCCUGGUCUGUCUCGAGGUCCCGGAGAGCCCUUUUUGUUUUCUUUUUCACACCAUAGUUUAAUGUUUUAACAAAUGUUGACAUUUUUGAAAGUUUUCUACAUCUAAUAGGGCAUAGGCAGAAUAAUAGUCUGGUCCGUGUCCCCGGUCCUGGCAUGGUCUCGGCUUGGUGGAAACAGCAUUUGUCAGCAGGAGUAGGUAUGGAGACUGUCACGGGGACCGGGCAUUGGCCUCCGAGUACUUCCCUCAGGAGAGGAAAGAUAAAGCAGAGGAACGGGUGAAUUCAUCAGAUUGGUUUGGCAGCGUGGAGACCAAGUGGGUGCAGGUCAUCGCCCACGACAAGUUUCCCAGGGCUGUGGAGAGACCGCUGCCCAGGCGCUUCCGCGGGCGAGGCCCGGCCGGGGCUGCCUUAGUGCACUCCGAAGAAUGUGGCCCUGGCACUCGGCAGGCGCAUGCCAAGCCCUCCCCGGCCCCCGCCGCCUGCUCGCAGUCGGCCGGAGUGACCAGAGCAGGCCGCACGGGCAGGGCAUGGGAAGCGGUCCAGCGGGCGGGACCCGGGCCUCCCUGCGGGCUCGGGGAGAGAAGCAGGAUCGUAAACAACCUUCUGCGGAGGACCCUGAGGAAAGAAUGGAAAACCGUCGUGAACGGUGGUUCUGGCCAGCCGUGGCUUUGGACAGGAAACGGGCGGGCUGAAUAGGUGGGCAACACCGGUGACUGUGUUGGCUGUGGCUCUAGGACACGGAUGAGAGAAUGCCCUGUGGCUGUGAAGAGGAAGCACAGGUACUUUCAGGAGUUUUUUCUUUCGAGUUCAUGAGUUCUCACCAAAUCUGGUCUUCACAUUGUCGUCCUGUCCUGUUUUUGAUGGCUUAGGGCCUGGUGAAAGGAUGACACCCUGUGACCAUGGUAUCAUCUCUGCAGAUGCCUGGCCAUCCCCGCCCCCCCACCAGGUGCCAUCCUUGACCCCUCCCUUACCCUCACUCCCACGUCCGAGGCAGCAGAUGCUCCACAGUAGUAAAUGGUUGAAUAAGGAGUUCCCGUCCUGGUGCAGUGGUAAUGAACCUGACUAGGAACCAUGAGGACGCAGGUUCCGUCCCUGGCCCUGCUUAGUGGAUUAAGGAUCCGGCGUUGCUGUAAGCUGUGGUGUAGGUCAAAGAUGUGGCUCGGAUCUGGCAUUGCUGUGGCUGUGGUGCAGGCUGGCAGCUGCAGCUCUGAUGCAACCCCUAGCCUGGGACUUUCCAUAGGCUGUGGGUGUGGCCCUAAAAAGCUAAAUAGAUAAAUUAAUCCUAGACUAAAUCUUAGAAUAAUCCUCGAAUCCUAGAAUAAAUAAAUCCCACGCUGGCCCUGCACCAUUACCACCUCCGUUCUGAAAAAUUCCUCAGCCUUCCACCCUGGUCUUGUUCCCCUAUGUGUCUCCUCUCCGGCCAUUGGAGAUACCUUUCCUCAGACACUUAGGCCAGACCUUUUCACUACCCACUUUCUCUCCGGCAGUGGGUGUACCCACCUCAGAGUAGAAUCCCAGUUCCCAGCUUCUCUCCUUGGCCUGUGGGCACUGUGUGGUUUGGGACUGGUUUCCUGGGGCGCUUUCUCUGUGAGUCCCUGCCCUGCCCUCUGCUGGGUCACUCUUACAGUAGGUCUUCUGGUGCCUGGUGCUUGCAGAUCAUGCAGGCCCCAGCUCACAUGGUACCUUUAGGAAAGACUUUCUCUGGAAACCUAGUCCAGGCUACCUAUGGUAGAGUACCCAUGCUGGCACCAGCUCUGUUUCUCCUUCCCCUUUUUAAUUGCUUCUCAGCACAGACCAUCUGAAAUCUUGUUUAUUUAUGGAUGUAGUUGUUUGCUCUCCUGGUAGAGCCUGUACUAGAAUGUACCUUCACAAUCUGGGCAGCGGCUUGAGGUGGGAUCUCAGUUCCCAGACCAGAGAUUGAGCUUGGGCUGCCGCAGUGAAAGUGCUGAGUCCUAAUCACUAGACCACCAGGGAACUCUGCACAAUCCCAGCCUUCUAAAGGCUCACCUAGCCUCAGAUUGCCCUGGAGAGCCUGACUUCAUAAGGGAACACCGAGUUUUAGUUUCGGAAGAACUACAGGUUGUGUGAGAAAGAAACACAUUUGAUGCCCUAAACCAGCCACAGCCCAGCCUCCAAAAUGAAUGCUUGCAUGCGUUCAAGUGGGUGCACACAUGCAGUGAAAUAGAGCAUCUCUGUUAGACACAAAUCGUCCCCUGCUUUUGAGCAAAGAAAGUUUUCACAGGAAAGGAAACCUUAGAAUAUAGCUCCUGGGGAGUUCCCACUGUGGCACAGUGAGUUAAGUAUCCAGCAUUGUCUCUGGGCCACACAAUUCGAUCCCUAGCCCAGCACAGUGGGUUAAGGAUCCAGCAUUGCCGCAGCUGUGGCAUAGGUCACAGGCCCGGUGCAGUGGGUUAGCGAUCUGGCAUUCCUGCAGAUGUGGUUCAGUUUUGAUCUCUGGCCCUGGAACUUCCAUAUGCUGCAGGUGCGGCAAAGCAAACAAAAAACCAGCUCCUGACAUUUUAAACUCAGUCAUCAAAUUUUAGACAGAAGGGGAGUUCCUGUCGUGGCUCAAUGGAAACCAUCCCGCUAAGGAUGCAGGGUCAAACUAUGGCCCCGUUCAGUGGGUUAAGGAUCAGGCAUUGCCUCAAGUUGCGGUGUAGGUCGCAGAUGUGGCUCAGAUCUGGCAUCACAGUGGCUGUGGUGUAGGCCAGCUACUGUAGCUGAUUUGACCUCUAGCCUGGGAACUUCCAUAUGCUACCCUUGUGGCCCUUAAAAAAAAAAAAAAA